CCUACGGGAGGCAGCAGUGAGGAAUAUUGGUCAAUGGGCGGAAGCCUGAACCAGCCAAGUCGCGUGAGGGAAGAAGGCCCUCCGGGUCGUAAACCUCUUUUGCCGGGGAGCAGUGGACCGGACGCGUCCGGACCGGGAGAGUACCCGGAGAAAGAGCAUCGGCUAACUCCGUGCCAGCAGCCGCGGUAAUACGGAGGAUGCGAGCGUUAUCCGGAUUUAUUGGGUUUAAAGGGUGCGUAGGCGGGUAGUUAAGCCGGCGGUAAAAGGUCGGGGCUCAACCCCGGACUGCCGUGGUAACUGGGUGCCUUGAGUGGGCGAGAAGUAUGCGGAAGGCGUGGUGUAGCGGUGAAAUGCAUAGAUAUCACGCAGAACCCCGAUUGCGAAGGCAGCAUACCGGCGCGCUACUGACGCUGAGGCACGAAAGCGUGGGGAGCGAACAGGAUUAGAUACCCGGGUAGUC
rnacentral:rRNA from 1 species